CAAUAGCGUAUAUUAAAGUUGUUGCAGUUAAAAAGCUCGUAGUUGGAUUUGUGGCGUACGGUGGGCUCCGGGCACUUGUUGUCUGAGUAACUUGCUGUUGCCAUCCUUGGGUGGAACCUGUGUGGCAUUAGGUUGUCGUGCAGGGGAUGCCCAUCAUUUACUGUGAAAAAAUUAGAGUGUUCAAAGCAGGCUUAUGCCGUUGAAUAUAUUAGCAUGGAAUAAUGAGAUAGGACUUUUUUGCUAUUUUGUUGGUUUGCGCAAAGAGGUAAUGAUUAAUAGGGACAGUUGGGGGUAUUCGUAUUCCAUUGUCAGAGGUGAAAUUCUUGGAUUUUUGGAAGACGAACUACUGCGAAAGCAUUUACCAAGGAUGUUUUCAUUAA
rnacentral:rRNA from 1 species